GCCUGACUGGCCGCACUGCCCUCUCGCUCUGCUCAACAAAGGGUCACUGCCUGACUGGCCGCACUGCCCAUUCACUCUGCUCAGCAAAAGGUCACUGCCUGACUGGCCGCACUGCCCAUUCACUCUGCUCAGCAAAAGGUCACUGCCUAACUGGCCGCACUGCCCAUUCACUCUGCUCAGCAAAAGGUCACUGCCUAACUGGCCGCACUGCCCAUUCACUCUGCUCAGCAAAAGGUCACUGCCUGACUGGCCGCACUGCCCAUUCACUCUGCUCAGCAAAAGGUCACUGCCUGACUGGCCGCACUGCCCAUUCACUCUGCUCAGCAAAAGGUCACUGCCUAAC